rnacentral:rRNA from 1 species
ACGAACGCUGGCGGCGUGCCUAAUACAUGCAAGUCGAGCGGAAUGAUGAAGAAGCUUGCUUCUUCUGAUUUUAGCGGCGGACGGGUGAGUAACACGUGGGCAACCUACCUUGUAGAUUGGGAUAACUCCGGGAAACCGGGGCUAAUACCGAAUAAUCCAUUUUGCUUCAUGGCGAGAUGUUGAAAGACGGUUUCGGCUGUCACUAUAAGAUGGGCCCGCGGCGCAUUAGCUAGUUGGUAAGGUAAUGGCCUACCAAGGCGACGAUGCGUAGCCGACCUGAGAGGGUGAUCGGCCACACUGGGACUGAGACACGGCCCAGACUCCUACGGGAGGCAGCAGUAGGGAAUCUUCCACAAUGGACGAAAGUCUGAUGGAGCAACGCCGCGUGAGUGAAGAAGGUUUUCGGAUCGUAAAACUCUGUUGUAAGGGAAGAACACGUACGAGAGUAACUGCUCGUACCUUGACGGUACCUUAUUAGAAAGCCACGGCUAACUACGUG